rnacentral:rRNA from 1 species
UACGUAGGGCGCAAGCGUUGUCCGGAAUACUGGGCGUAAAGCGUGCGCAGGCGGUUCGUUAAGUCAGCUGUGAAAGCCCCGGGCUUAACCCUGGGAAUGGCGGUUGAAACUGGCGAACUUGAAUCGUGCAGAGGGGGGUGGAAUUCCACGUGUAGCAGUGAAAUGCGUAGAGAUGUGGAGGAACACCGAUGGCGAAGGCAGCCCCCUGGGCUGAGAUUGACGCUCAGGCACGAAAGCGUGGGGGAGCAAACAGG